rnacentral:lncRNA from 1 species
UUCUCUCCUGCCUGCAAAUAUGGCAUCAGGAAACAUAAACACCUACAAGAUAAAAGCAAAACCUAAUCCUAGAAAAACAAGCCUGACUAUUUACUCACCCAGAUCUAACUCUGGACUAGACCCAUGCAACUCACACCAGAGCCUACCAGCAGCUACUGCUGGUCAUGCUGCUAUGAGAACUGCCUUCACAGAGAGCCUAAAAAUCAGGCAGGAAAUCAGAUACAAAGAAGAACAUGGGGUAACAAGACAGUGACACUUUCCUGUAAGAAGACCAUAAAUCUUUAUACAAGGGGGCGGACUGGAGAACGUCAGGGGUUUCCAUGUGUGAGUGUUUAAAAUAAAACCUUAUUCAUGCUGGAGUGGGGAAGAAAAGAACUGGCAAGCUGGGAACACAAAAAGAGAAAAGGAGGAACCUUAAAAUAUGAGGAUUGACUGGGUCUUGAGCUCUGAAGGAGGGAGGAGGGCGGAUGCCCCGGCGGUCUCUCGGCGGGGACAUGCUGCCAUCCAGCGGCUGCGGCCACGCGGCCCCGAGGAUGUGGAUGUCCCGGAGCACCGCGCCCCGCGCUGCCCCCUGGGGGCGGAGGAUGCUUCGAGGAGUGGUGUUGGGGUCCGACGCCCCCGGCUGAUCCAGCCCCCCUGCCCCACUGCUCUUGUAGCCCUUCAGCAAAAAUGUUCAUGGAAGAGAGAGUCACUUACAGCCAUUCAUGCAAUUAUGGUGGCUUGGAGGAAACAGAUGAUUUGACAUGGAGUAGAUUUGCAGCCAAGACCCCAUUGCAAGCAGGACCUGAGUUCUUUGGAAGAGUCAUGAGCUGGGGGUGAUUGCCCUGUGAAGAGAGUUUUUUUUUCCAGAGUGCCUGUGAAUGAAGAUAUGGUCCCUGCUCAGAAAAUCUGACCCAAAUACUCUUCUCCUAAAUGGCACAACUACUGUGAAAGCCAAUUACUGCACCGUGGGUUCUUCAGAUCCGUAGCUUCUCAAAAUUAAUAUAAGUGCUGGAAAAGAUACCGGAAAAAAGAUCAGUUAUGGAUAAUCUGAGUCUUGAUGUGCUUCCCUGGGAUUUACAGUUAACCUCUGAUCCAAUUAAAGGCUGUGGAGGGACUAUACACAAAAGUAGUGCUGUAGUUCCUUUCCCUUGUAUUUUACAUCCCCAAUGAAUAUUCUGUAUCUACAGGCACCACAAAUGACAAUUCAGAGAGUCAGUUAGAAGUCUCAGCAAAAUUCCUGGUGUCUUGGCACAGGACCUCCUAAUGGGGGUCAUUCAGAGGGAAACCUGCUGAGGGUGACUGGGAAGAAGGAGUCAUUGCCUCUGAGGGAGCCUUCUGUCCACAUCUCAGGACUUGUGACACUGCUUCAGAAAGAAAGCUUAAGUUGUUAGAGCAGAGAAAAUCUUCAUUACGGUACCCCACCCUCAGGCAUGUGAAAGACAAGCAGCUCAGCACCUUCCAGAGUCAGGCCCAUAAAGAUGAGAGGCUCUGGAACUUGAGGGACAGGUAAGUGAGGAUGUGGUGGAAGGUCCACCCAGGAGGUUAUCUAGGGCAAGGAGGCUGACUCCACAUCCCAAGACUGCAUCUGACAAGAAGACAAUCACUGUGGGCAACUCCCUUCUGAGAGGAACGGACAGCCCCAUAUACUGGCCAGACCUUACUCAUAGGGAAGUGUACUGCCUCCCUGGGUGAGGGUCAGGGAUGUUACUAGAAGGCUCCCUAGUAUGGUUCACCCUCUGUUUAUUAUCCCUUAUUGGUACUUCAGGCUGGCAGUGAUGAAGUCACUGAGAGAAGCUUGAGAGCUAUCAAAAGGAACUUCAGGUGGCUGGGGCAGUUUGUGGACAGAGAGGAAGUACAGUUGGUUUUUCUCUGUCCCUUCAGUGGCAGGGAGGAACACUGAGAGGACCAGGAAAUCCCAUCUGAUAAAUACAUGGCUGAGAGGCUGGUGCUGCUGUAGGAAUUUUGGCUUUUUUGAUCAUAGGGCCGUUUACUCAGCACCUGGCUACAAAUGAGGUCCACCUAGGUCAAUGGGGGAAAGGAAUUCUGGCCCAGGAGCUGUUUGGGCUUGUUGACAGGGCUUUAAACUAGGUUUGAAGGGGGAAGGGAGUGAUACCGAGCCUGCCCAUGACAAGGUGUGGGAUAGCAUAUCUAAGUUAAAGGGACAAGAUGCUAGUAGGGGCCCUCAAUCUGUUGCAUUUUAUAAUGAAUAUACUAGGCAUCGAGCUGUCAGGGCUCAUCACCAUGGCUUUAAAAUAGAUUUGAUGGUGGAAGAGGAUGUAGUGCCAAGGAACAAAGAGUCAGGGAACAUUGUCACUUUAAGAAGCAGAGGAGAAAACCUCAGAUUUGUCCCAGGGGUUUUUGGGAGGGCUCCUCCAAGAAGAUAAUGUGGCCAAAAGCCCAACUGAAGUGCCUCUAUGCCAAUGCACGCAGAAUGGGAAAUAAGCAGGAGGAAUUGGAAACUGUGACGUAAUUGGAAAACUAUGAUCUUACUGCUAUCACAGAAACAUGGUGGGAUGACUCACAUCUGAAACACUGAAACACCAUGAUUGAGGGUUAUAGGCUUUUUAGAAGGGAUAGGCAAGAUAGGAGAGGUGGGGAAGUUGCUCUGUAUAUUAAGAAGUAGAUAGACUGCAAAAAGCUGCCGCUGGGAAACAGUUAUGAAGAGGCUGAGAGCUUGUGAGUUAAAAAAAUUAGGGACUGGACCAAUAAAGGGCAUCUGGUGAUGGGGUCUACUCCAAGCUACCUGAUAAAGUGAGGCUGUUGACAAGGCCUUCUUACUUCAGCUGCAAGAGACAUUGCGCUCACAGGCUUUCAUCCUAAUGAAGGAUUUCAACCGCUCAGAUAUCUGCUGGGAAAACAACAGGGCAGCCUGCAAGCAGUCCUGGAAACUCCUGAAGUCCACUGAUGACAAUUUUCUGGUUCACAUAUUGGACAGACACAGCAGAGGUGAAGCACUUCUGGACCUGGUGCUCACCAACGCAGAAGAGAUCAUAAAAGAAGUUACAAUCAGAGGCAGCCUGAGCUGCAGCAACUAUGCCCUGGUUGAGUUUGUGAUCUCAAGGAAUGUGGAAGCAGUGAUGGGUGGCCUGGGAAAAUAUAGGGAUGCUGUCUGGAUGUGCAAGGAUGGAGUCUGGAAAACUGAGGCGCAAAUGGAAUUGGAUUUGGUCAGGGAUGUGAAAAACAACAAGGGAUGCAAACAAGACAAAAUAGAGGGGUCAGCGUUCUGCACAGUGACUCACUCCAGUGCUAUUACAGAAAAGGAUGUUUUAAUGUGCUGCUUCCCAUCCAAACUUCAUGAAAUGGGAAGCCUCCCAGAACUCUUCCAGAAGCCCAGCUGGAACUCCCCACUAUGAAAAACACUUCAACGUGAAUUAGAAAGUUUGCAAGAAAACCAUUACAAAACAGUACCAUCCUUGGCUAUACUAUGCGGUACUUCCCACAUAUUAGGAUCUCCAAAGAAUGUCAUUUUUGCCUUGAAAAAGUAUCCCAAGCUAUUCCCAUCUGCAAGGACAAUCUCUUUACUCCACUCUCAGAAUUUCUGAUGUCCCAGCUAUACCAGAGAUUACACCACGGACAUUGUGACAAGUUAAAAACCUGAAGUACUACGUCAUCUGAUGGUACAUGAGUGCUUCCUCCUGUGCCUGACUUUACUUUGGACCUGGGAACAAGAGCUAAGACAAAGCAUGGAUUUUCUGUCUGAGUGUUUGCAGACGCUUCUAUUACAUGAUCACAUUAUAGCGCUGUUGAAAACUGCUGUCAGCCCGUUAAAUAACACCGGACAGGUACUUAGGAUCUUCCAUUACCACAAUAAUGACAUAUCUCCCAAGUUUUGAAACAUCGGCUCAAGUUGCUCCCAGCUGUUCCACCGCAGCUCGUUUUCCUGCCAAUCACCACAUGGUGGUGGUGUAUCACCAUGAGUUCAGUGUUCGGGUCUGACUCCUGAGAGCUGAAUAGUUGGUUUAAGAAAGCUGGAUAUUUACAGCACAGCACAUUUACAAGGAUGCUUGUAGAGUGAACCCUCUAAAUCCAGUUUACCUUUGAAUUUAUAUGCAUUGCUUAACUGCUUUGCAUAGAGAACUGUCUGGCUUUCCAGUCAGGAAUCUCCCAGAGUAUUUCAAGCAACAUAUUUAUAACUCCAGGUGCAUCCACAUGCAGAAGGAUUUGAAGUCACAUGUGAUUUAUUUGUCCAUCUGCUUCAUCUCAACCUAUUUUGUUUCAUUUUGUUCUUGUUCUUGUUUUGUUUUGCUUUAAUAAUCCUUUGAUACUUAAUCAUCCAUUUCCUAUGGAAAAAAAAAAAAAAAAGUGCUCCCAAGAAUUCCAAUAGAGUCCAGGAAGGCUGAAUGCCUACUCUUCUGAAUUUGCUCCUAAAAGUCUUCUUCUGCAAAGCGUUUCAGCCACCCUUCACCAAAGUCAGGCAAUAAAAAGAAGGUGUACUGCAUUGCCAUUGUGUUUUUCAGCCCAUUCACAUUAUAGACCUUAAAUUAGCUAUUAUAUGUCCUUAGCUGAAUGUGGACAGUGACAGCCCAAUCGAAGACAGAGUGAAGUCAAUGGGAACCUUUCAGUUCUCCCUCAUUUGGCCCUGAAUCAAGUUCAAAGUUGUCUGAUUCAAGAAACAGAUCUUCUGUGUUUUUACAAAGAUGAUUUUUCUCCAGUAUGGAUAUAGGUUACAAAAAAAUUCCAUUAGGGCUUUGUGCACAAAAGAAGCUAUAUGUAACAAUGACAGCAUGUCUCAAACCAACAGAGAGAUUAGCUCUACUUUAAUUGGUUUGAAACAAGGGCACAUCAUCAACAGGGACGGGAGAACUGGCUUGGACUUAAUGAGAAAUGCAUCAUUUCCCACUCACAAACUUACUGCAGACUUACCCUGAACUUUCUAAAUCAAAACUGUUUUAAUAAACUUUUUUGUUGCAUUGC